UUGUGUUACUGUUUCUCUGUCUUUUGUCGACUUGUGUUUGUUGAUGCUCUAGUCACUGAGGUUAUUAAAUUGCAUACUGUUUUGACUAAUCGAUGGAGAGGGAUAUGGCGGAGUUGAGUUUGGAUGAUGGAGAGGGGGAGGCAUUCUCUAUACUAGAGGAUGCUGAGGAAAAAGUUGAUGUUUAUAGUUUUUGUUUGGUGGGUUGUUUUCUUACUGCCAGUGUGGUUCACUUUCCAGCAAUGAGAAAUACAAUGGCAAAUAUUUGGCAUCCUUUGGAUGGCGUGCGAAUCACAGAUCUGGGAGAGAAACGUUUUCUCUUUAGAUUUUUUAAUGAGGUUGAUAUUUCAAGGGUUGUUACAGGUGCUCCUUGGACCUUUAAUAGUCAUCUCUUGAUUUUACAUAGGAUCUUUAAUAGUCAUCUCUUGAUUUUACAUAGGAUUGGGGAAAAUGAAGAUCCAAUGUCUGUUCCUUUGGUGUUCUCUAAUUGUUGGAUUUAGAUUUAUGAUUUACCCCAGGCUUCUAUAGGUAUUCCAUGGCAGUGCAAAUUAAAACUUUAUUGGAAGAUUUCUGGAGUAUGAUACGAAGCAAUUGGCAAUUGGUAAUAUGAAUUACAUGUGCAUACGUGUUCAACUUGAUGUUCGAGUGCCCCUGAAAAGACGAAAAAAAUUAUGAUCUCGACAAGUAAAUCCACUUAUGUUAAUUUCAAGUAUGAAAAAUUAACAUUAUUUUGUUUCUUAUGUGGAUGUCUUGGGCAUGGGGAUAGUUUUUGUCCGAAGCGGCUUCAAUAUGGAUUGCAGGAAAUGGAGUUGGGUUGGGAUUUGUCGUUAAGGGCGCAGGGGAGGAAAGCUUCCAUUGCAAACAAUGUCUGGUUGCAGGGGAGUGGAGAUAAUAGUAAUUUUGGAAAGUCAAAAUUUGGGCAUCAAUCGAGCCAACACUCAAGCUCUAAUUGUGGAAGAAAUUAUGGGGGUAAUUUUAAUUCUGUUUUGGGAAUUAAUCUGGAAGGUUCAAAUUUUUUAGCUACUUUAAAUGAGUCCCAGAAAGGAAAGAAUUUGAGUGAUAAUGGUAGAGAAGAUUUGACGGGUGGAAAAAAUCAAUUGCUGGGAGUUUCAAUGAAAGGUGUUGUUACAAAAACAACUUCUAAUGGGAUGGACCGUUUGCCUGGAUUGGGGGUGGCACAUAUGGACUGUGAAUUGGAAGAGGAACCUUUCUCCCAUGACGACGGAAAAAAAAGACAGCGAGUUAAUAUACUGGGCUCUAAUGUUUCUACGAGUCAAGAUCCAUUAGAGGCUGUGGAUGGGCCUUCAGUUCAUUUCAAUCAGAUAUCGACGGCUGCCAGUGGGCAAGCCGACCGACAGCAAUGAAAAUCUUGUGCUGCAAUGUUCGCGGAUUGGGGAGUCUGCGAGUAGUUAAAAGGCUUCAAUAUAUGCUGAAGUUGUACCAUCCCCAAGUAGUCUUCUUUAUAGAGACUAAAUUAAGUAAGUCAAGAAUGGAUGUUGUUAGAAGGCGUUGUGGUUUUUUCAAUGGUAUUGAUGUUCCAUCUAACGGUCCCCGAGGUGGUCUAAGUCUUGGGUGGAAUGGGAGAAAUUCUGUUACUUUAAAGAGUUAUUCAAGAAAUCAUAUAAACGUCGAAAUUCAAGAUGAUGAAGAUGCUUCCCGUUGACAUUUUACUGGGUUCUAUGGGGCUCCGGAGGUUAGAAAUAAACAAGAAACUUGGGAUUUACUUCGAAGGUUGGGAAGAGAUAAUUCACUCCCUUGGUUAGCAAGUGGAGACUUCAAUGAUAUUCUUUUUACCCAUGAAAAAUAGAGGGGUUGCUAAGAGAAGAGGCUCGGAUGGAGAGUUUUCGUAGAACGUUGGAAGAAUGUUGCUUGGAGGAUAUUGGUUUUUCAAGAGCGUGGUUCACUUGGGAGAGGGGACGAGUAAUGGAAUAUAACAUUCGGGAACAAAUCGAUCGAAGAGUGGCUACAGCCGAAUGGAUUCAAAUGUUUCCAUCAUACUCUUUGCGACAUUUGCCACACUCUUUUUCCGAUCAUUGCCCACUGUUAAUUGAGACGAAGAAUGCUGUUUUGGGGAAAAAAAUUGGCUCAAUUUCGUUUUGAAUCUUGGUGGACUUUAGAGGAUUCCUAUGAGGAGGAGAUUAAAAAGCUAUGGGAGGAGAGUUCUGGCUCAUACUUAAAUCGCAUGGAUAAUCUAGCUAAUGGUUUGAAAGUUUGGGCGAGCAAGUUUAGGCAUAACCGAUGAUGGGAUGUGAAGCGUCUUAAUAGGAGGCUAGAUGAACUAAAUUGCAAAGAGCGAUCAGAGGAGAUUUUAGAAAAGAUUGUCGAGGUCAAACUCCAUCUGAAUAUGGAGCUGGAUAAGGAGGAAAAAUAUUGGGAGCAACAAGCCCGAACUAACUGGUUGAAAAUGGGAGAUAAGAAUACUGCUUUCUUCCAUAAACAUGCAUCCCAGAGAAGGCGUAUUAAUCGAAUUCGAGGUCUUUAACGAAACGAUGGCUCUCUAGCUAUGGAAAGUAAGGAGGUGGAAUCUAUUGCUAGGGAGUAUUUUUCAGAGCUUUUUACGUCUUCUAGGGUCGAAAAUAUGGAGUACAUAUUAUCUGGGGUUUAAUCGUGUAUUUUGGAGAGUAUGAAUCACCUUUUGUUGGCUACCUAUGCUGAGGGAGAAAUUCUUGAGGCGCUUAAAGGGAUGGGUCCUACAAAAGCUUCGGGUGCUGAUGGUUUUCCAGCAAUUUUCUACCAGAAGUACUGGCAUAUAGUUGGUAAGGAUACUUGUAAUUUCUGUUUAGAUAUUCUGAAUAAUGUAGUUCUUUGGAAGAUAUCAAUAGGACGCAUCUGGUGUUGAUUCCAAAGAUUGCUAAUCCUACCAAUUCCAAAGAUUGCCAAGACAGUGGCUACUUGACUCCAAAAGGUAUUGGAUGGGUGCAUAGAUGAUGCUCAAAGCGCGUUUGUUCCUGGUCGUCUUAUCUCAGACAACGUUUUACUUGCUUAUGAAGUUCUUCAUUCUUUUAAGAAUAGAAGGUCGGGUAGAAAAGGUUUCAUUGUAACAGCCCGAUUUUAAGCCUAGUCGAAACAGUAAUUUCGGAACCACUAUUUCGAGGCCAGAGAAAAUUAUUUUAGUAUUAUUUUGUGUUAUAAUAUAAUUUUAUAAGUGCGUGUAAAUUUUGGUAAGUUAAUUUUAGCAAUUUCUACUCUAAUUUUGAAAAAAGACUAAAUCGCAUAAAAGGUAAAAGUUAUGUUUUAAUACCUAAAGGUGUUAAAUUGCCUUGUAUCUUAAAUUGGGGGUAUUUAAAGUAAAAUUAGGCCAUUUAAAGUGUGAUGGCCGGCCAUGGGAGACAAUUUUUGAAAAGUCAAAAUUAGGUGAAAUUUGGUCACUAAUUUUGACUGGUUUUAUUAUUAACAAAUCAAGAAGAAAAAGCUAUCAUUUUUCUCUUCUCCUUCACCGAAAUAUGCAGCAAAGAAAUGGCUUUGAAGCUGGAAAAUUUCAGCAACAUAUUUCCAUUGCUUGUAAGUGAUUUUAAUGUCUUUGCUUGAUGAUUUUUACAUUUUUGGAACCCCUAAAGCAUGAGCUUUCAUAUGAAGGGCUAUAGUUAUGAAAAUGGUUCAUCUAGACUCAAGGAGUAAAGAAAUGUGAUAAAAAUUAUUUUACGAGCCUAGGGGUAAUUUGGUAAUUUUGGCAAAAUAUAAGGGCAAAAUUGUAAAAAUUACCCAAUUGUGUCAAUUGACUAAUUUGAUUAGUACAUUAUUUUAAUAAGUUGAAUGUGAUAUUUUAGAUGAUGAAAAUCGAAAUUUGGACCUAGAACGGAAAGAAAUCGAUUAAGAGAUAAUUACGUCUUUUUUUUCACCUUUAUGGUAUCGAGGUAAGUUUAUGUGUAAAUAAUGUAGCAUAAUUGUUAUUUUUAAGUUAUUGAUGUUAAAUAUAUAAUAUACUGAUUUUUAUCAUAAAAUAUAUGCUUUGUGGUUAUUAUCGAAUAAAAUACAAGAUAUGUGUAUUAUCUGUUAAAUAUAAAGUGCUACCGAGUAUUGGUUUCAAUAUUUUACGAAAGAUGGCAAGGAGAUGUGUUCGAGGAAAAUCUCGUUUGAACCUUAGGAAUAGAUUAAGAUAUAAGUAACAUGUCACUAGGAUGGUUGAGCAUCCGAACUCGUUGAGUUGAGUCCAAGUUCACUUAUGGGCGGGUUGAAUGGUAGCUUGGCUACAUAUGUGGCACUUAUGUGCAAACUUUCUAUGUAUCCGAAUUAUAUUCCGAUAUGUUCAACGGGUAAAAUUCUACUCAAAUGGAGCAAUACUCGAGAUGAAAGAGACGUAUUGGUAAAUGUUGUGAAAUAGACGUAAUUAUACAAACGAUAUAACAACAAUACGGUAACAUGAUAAAUAAAAAUUUGAUAUGAAUGUCUCAGUGAUGAUUAUACAAACGAUAUUGUAUUAAUUUUGUGAACAAUGAUCAUGAAUGAGUAAUUUAGCCUUGACAGAUUUGAGUUACUGCAGUAGUGUAACUUUAAAAGUACACUAAAAAUAGUAGAAAAUGAGUUAAGAGGUAGAAUAAAAUAUAGGAUUAAAGCUUAAUGAGUCUAUUUUCACAUGAAAGAAACAGGGGAAGAAAAAGAUUCCAUAUUGUAUGAUAUUUGAAUUCUUGUGAAACAUGGUCUGAAUGAAUUCGAAAUCCCCUGUUCUGACUUUAGAAAUUCACCAAAAAUUGUACAAAAUUUAUUAAGAAUCAUACCUUACAUGCAUGGAUUCCUUAUUGAGUCUAUUUUUAGAAGAAAUAAACGCCAUGGUCGUUGAAAUUUUGUAUAGGGAGAAAUUCAGUUUGUAGUGCACAGGGGUCAGAGUGGUCAUACCCUGAAACAGGGGAGACUUUAACUAAUAAAUUAUACUAAUUGGCCCAACCAAAAAUUCUAAAAAAAAUUAGUAAGUAGACAUAUGAGUUUAGUUUCAAGAUAAAUAGACGAGAACAUUAUUUGAGUCUUGUACUAUGAGAUAAUUGAACUUUAGUACAGAAGGGUCGGAACUGUCAGACAGUGAAUCAAGGGUAACUUUGACGAAUAAACUGUACUAUUUGGCUAAACCAAAAAAUUUAAAAAUUUUAUGGAAGAAAGAAAAAUAAGUCUAGUUUCAGGAAAAAUUAACGAAACUUAAUUCAGAGUUUCGUAGCUCCAGAUAUAAAUAAUUUAGUGACCGUUGCUCAGAAAGACAGCUUGUAGUGAACUUGAGAAUAUAUUGUAAACAUUAAUAAAACAAGUUAAUGAGUGCUUAUUGUUUUCAUAUGAACUUACUAAGCGAAAGCUUACCCCCCUCUUCUUUCCCAUGUUUUCUAAAGUUUCCAGGUUAUCUCGGGUUGGAGGCCGUUAGAGAUAUUAUCACACUGUCAAGCUAACACUAUUGGUGUAGUGAUUUCAAGUACUUUGGCCGUUAGAGUAUGUGAUAUGACUUUAACUAUAUGUGUUAGGCCUAUUUUUAUUAUGGGGUUGUAAAUCUAUUUUAAUUAUGCAUGCAUGUGCUAUGGUAUUAUGUGAUGAGUUUAUAAUGAUUAUAGUAUGAAUGUGAUAAAGAUGUGAGUAAAAUCUAUGAUAUCUAUUGCAUGUGAAAUUGCCAUAAUCAUGACAUGUUAAGAAUGUUUAAAUACCUAAUUUUGCCAUGUUGUAUGUUAUUGUAUAAGUAUGCGUGUAUCUAUUGUGAAUGUGACAAAAUGGCUUGGAAAAUAACCUUGUAUUUGCCCAGGUUUUUGGACGCAGGUUUGGGACAUGGGCGUGUACUCUAUACCCACACGGGCAUAUGAAGCCUUGAUGCAAGAGAUUUUCUAAGUUUUUUAUGAGUUCUCGAUUGGGUCUCGAACCACUUCAGAUGUAUGUUUUGGGCCACGUAAGCCCGUAUAUGGGACAAAUUGUGAAAAUAAAAGUUUUUAAUUAUUUGAGAUUUCAUGACCCUAUUUAGUAUUGAACUGUUAGUAAAAGUCAGGUAACACCUCGAACCCCGUCCCAACGUCGAAUGCAGGUGAAGGGUGUUACAUUCAUGGCUUUAAAGUUGAACAUGAGUAAGGCAUAUGACAAAGUGGAGUGGCCUUUUAUUAGAGAAAUGAUGGCUAGGACGGGUUUUGAAAACAGGCUCAUUAGUCUUAUCCUCCAUUGUGUCAAUUCUGUCCAGUACUCAAUUUUAAUUAAAAGGGAGGAAGGGUCCAAUUUCUGGGCUUCUAGGGGUUUGCGCCAAGGGGAUCCGUUGAGUCCCUAUUUAUUUCUUUUUUGUGAAGAAAGGCAUUCAGCAUUAAUGAGACUUGCAAAAUAGGAAGGCAAAUUUUUUUGUGCUAAGGUCUGUCGAUCAACUCCACCUAUCACCCAUCUCAUGUUCGUCGAUGAUUGUAUUCUAUUUGGAGAAACUUCAAGAAGGGGAAUUUUUCUGCUGAAAGAUAUUCUUGAGAAGUAUGAGGAUUGUUCGGGGCAGUGCGUAAACUUUGAAAAGUCAACUACGUUUUUCAGUUCAAAUGUGAAUGACCAAGAUAAGAAUUUGGUUUUUCAAAUUCUUAACGUGCGAUGCUCGACGAAUCCUGAGAGAUACCUUGGUCUUCCAAAUAUGGUGGGGCGAAAACAAAAGUUGGCUUUCCAAAAUCUGAAAGAUCGUUUAAAGCAAAGGGUUAAUAGUUGGAGCUUAAGACAUAUUUCACAAGGAGGCCGAGAGGUUUUUAUAAAGGCUGUUUUACAAGCUAUUCCUACUUACACAAUGGCUUGGUUCCUAUUGCCAAAAUCUUUGUGCAUGGAAUUGGAAAAUAUCAUGGGGGCAUUUUGGUGGAGGAAAAAUCAGGGAAAGCGAGGCAUGCAUUGGUGCGAUUGGAAGUCUUUGUGCGCACUAAAGGAAGACAGAGGUAUGGGUUUUCGUAAUUUAAAUUAUUUUAAUAUUGCUUUAUUGGCCAAACAGGGUUGGCGUUUAUUACGUAAUUCUAAUUCUUUACUAGCGCGUACUUUGAAAGCCAAAUAUUUUAAGGAGUCUGAUUUUUUAAACUCAAGGUUGGGAAAGUUACCUUCCUUUACCUGGCAGAGUAUUUCGGCGGCCAAGGGCCUACUUCUGAAGGGGUUGGGCUGGAGGAUUGGAAAUGGAAAACAUGUCUCCAUUUGGGAAGACGCAUGGAUCCCUGGGAAUGAGGAUUUCCGAAUUCAGCAUACAUCUGUUAAUAUGAGCUUAUUAAAAGUUGCUGAUUUAAUCGAGGCAAAUGAUAGAAAGUGGAAAUCUGAGCUGAUUUGUAAUACCUUUUCAGAGCAGGAAGCGGAGCGGAUUCUAUACAUUCCUCUGUCGUUGAACGAGAAUGAUGACCUUAUUAUCUGGCGGGGUGAGCCGACUGGGGAAUAUUCGGUACGGAGUGGCCAUAAACUUCUCUUACACAAUGAUCAGAAUGACUUACAGACAAAUUACAAACAAUUUUACAAAAAGCUAUGGAACUUAGAUCUACCCUCUAAAAUAAAGAUUACAGCUUGGCGUGUUUCACGCAAUUUUUUGCCUACUUUCAGUAACCUACAAUAUCGGAGACUGAGGGGAUCUGCUUCUUGUAGUAGGUGCCAAAACGGUGUGGAGUCGAGGGAACAUUUAUUCCAUGAAUGUCUUAAAGCAAAGGAAACAUGGGAGAAUUUGGGUAUCAGUUGGCCUAUUCCGGAAGAAAAUAAUAAUUUUAGGGACUGGUUACAGCUUAUUUUCCAAUCAAGGUCUACGGUUUUUUGCAGAGUUAUAGUAUGUACUCUAUGGGCGAUUUGGACAUCCAGAAAUAAAUUUAUCCACGAAGGUGAAGUUAAAACGGGUUCACAAAUUCCUGACUUUGUUAAAAAUUUUAUGUUGGAAUUGGAUGGGCUGAAAUCGUCAGUACCUGUAGAACAUCUCUGUGUGGGUGGUUGGGUUGCUCCGAUCGGAAUGAGGCUGAAAAUUAAUUUUGACGCUGCUUUCAACAAACAUAAGAAGGAAUCGUGCUCUGGUUUAGUUAUCCGGAAUAAUAAAGCGCAGAUUAUUGUUUCUAAAAUAGUUAUGAACUCGAACAUACCAUCAGCCUUUGCUGCUGAAGCGGUGGCGUGUCUUCAGGCGCUGCAACUUUGUUUAUAUCUUGGCUUGAGGGAGGUGGAUGUGUUUUCCUUUUUACAAACAGGGAUGUUAACAAAGUUGCGCAUCUCUUUGCAUCAGAAGGAAUAAGAAGGAGAGAGUCAACUUAUCUGGUAAAUCAGGUAUUUUCUGUCGCGGCGAAAAUGGUGGCUGAGGAUCAACGGAAGACAGAGAGCAUGAGAGAACUGAGGAGUCGGAGGGUAGGAGAUGAAGAAGAAAAUGUUUGUUUGAAUCUAUCUGUGGAAGAUCUUUCAGGAAGGAGGGUGUAAUCAAUGAAGUUGUUGGUUUUUGAAACGGUCAGUGGGUAAUUAAUUGUUGGCAUUUAAUUUCUGACCCUGCUUAUCACGCGUUUUGAUGUUUUUCAAGAGGGGUUUCUUUUGGUUGGUUUCCAGCUGGAGUAGAAGGCUUUAAAGCUCCCUUUUGUCAGUUUUACUGGUUAUAUGUUUUGGGCUAAUUUUUCUUUUAUUUUUGGACUUGCUGCUUUGUUCUUCCGUGGGUUUUUCUUUCUUAUUUUGUUAUCAUGUUUUUGCUUGGUGUUGAGCUGGGUUUGGAGUCUCUUGGGCUUUUCCUGAUUUUGGUAUGAGUGGUUUUUUUGGUUGUUUGGUCUUGUUCUGUUUUGUUUUUUUUAUGUAUUAGCCUUUGUUCAAUAUAACCAGUGAGUAUUUAUUUAAAAAAAUAAUAAUCUUAAAAUUUUGAGUUUUGUUUGUGGAAAUUAUGUGUAACUAAAUUAAUUUAAAUUGAAUUAAUUAUUCAAUUAAGUAUUUAUAAGAUUGAGCAUUUAACUCGAUUUAAUAACUAUAAUAAUUUAUUCCAAUGUUAACAUUCUAAUAUGAUUGUAAUUUAUAACUUAAAAA
rnacentral:lncRNA from 1 species